GACAGAUAACUAAACAAAUCUGAUCCGCCAGAGAACUACUAGCAACAGCUUAAAACUCAAAGGACUUGGCGGUGCUUUACAUACUCUAGA
rnacentral:rRNA from 1 species